AGAGUUUGAUCCUGGCUCAGGACGAACGCUGGCGGCGUGCUUAACACAUGCAAGUCGAACGAUGAUGCCCAGCUUGCUGGGCGGAUUAGUGGCGAACGGGUGUGUAAUACGUGAGUAACCUGCCCUUGACUCUGGGAUAAGCCUGGGAAACUGGGUCUAAUACUGGAUACUACCUCUUGCCGCAUGGUGGGUGGUGGAAAGGGUUUUACUGGUUUUGGAUGGGCUCACGGCCUAUCAGCUUGUUGGUGGGGUAAUGGCUCACCAAGGCGACGACGGGUAGCCGGCCUGAGAGGGUGACCGGCCACACUGGGACUGAGACACGGCCCAGACUCCUACGGGAGGCAGCAGUGGGGAAUAUUGCACAAUGGGCAGAAGCCUGAUGCAGCGACGCCGCGUGAGGGAUGACGGCCUUCGGGUUGUAAACCUCUUUCAGUAGGGAAGAAGCGAGAGUGACGGUACCUGCAGAAGAAGCGCCGGCUAACUACGUGCCAGCAGCCGCGGUAAUACGUAGGGCGCAAGCGUUGUCCGGAAUUAUUGGGCGUAAAGAGCUCGUAGGCGGUUUGUCGCGUCUGCUGUGAAAGCCCGGGGCUCAACCCCGGGUCUGCAGUGGGUACGGGCAGACUAGAGUGCAGUAGGGGAGACUGGAAUUCCUGGUGUAGCGGUGAAAUGCGCAGAUAUCAGGAGGAACACCGAUGGCGAAGGCAGGUCUCUGGGCUGUUACUGACGCUGAGGAGCGAAAGCAUGGGGAGCGAACAGGAUUAGAUACCCUGGGUAGUCCAUGCCGUAGACGUUGGGCACUAGGUGUGGGGGACAUUCCACGUUUUCCGCGCCGUAGCUAACGCAUUAAGUGCCCCGCCUGGGGAGUACGGCCGCAAGGCUAAAACUCAGAGGAAUUGACGGGGGCCCGCACAAGCGGCGGAGCAUGCGGAUUAAUUCGACGCAACGCGAAGAACCUUACCAAGGCUUGACAUUCACCGGACCGCCCCAGAGAUGGGGUUUCCCUUCGGGGCUGGUGGACAGGUGGUGCAUGGUUGUCGUCAGCUCGUGUCGUGAGAUGUUGGGUUAAGUCCCGCAACGAGCGCAACCCUCGUUCUAUGUUGCCAGCACGUGAUGGUGGGGACUCAUAGGAGACUGCCGGGGUCAACUCGGAGGAAGGUGGGGAUGACGUCAAAUCAUCAUGCCCCUUAUGUCUUGGGCUUCACGCAUGCUACAAUGGCCGGUACAAAGGGUUGCGAUACUGUGAGGUGGAGCUAAUCCCAAAAAGCCGGUCUCAGUUCGGAUUGAGGUCUGCAACUCGACCUCAUGAAGUCGGAGUCGCUAGUAAUCGCAGAUCAGCAACGCUGCGGUGAAUACGUUCCCGGGCCUUGUACACACCGCCCGUCAAGUCACGAAAGUUGGUAACACCCGAAGCCGGUGGCCUAACCCCUUGUGGGAGGGAGCCGUCGAAGGUGGGACUGGCGAUUGGGACUAAGUCGUAACAAGGUAACCGUA
rnacentral:rRNA from 1 species